UAAUGCUAGGAAACAGCUUGUCUCUCGA
rnacentral:sRNA from 1 species